rnacentral:rRNA from 1 species
UACGGAGGUGGCAAGCGUUGCUCGGAAUCACUGGGCGUAAAGGGCGCGUAGGCGGGGAGGUAAGUCGGGUGUGAAAUCCCUCGGCCCAACUGAGGAACUGCGCUCGAGACUGCUUCUCUUGAGUCCCGGAGAGGAAGAUGGAAUUCCCGGUGUAGCGGUGAAAUGUGUAGAGAUCGGGAGGAACAUCGGUGGCGAAGGCGGUCUUCUGGACGGUGACUGACGCUGAGGCGCGAAAGCGUGGGGAGCAAACGGG